AUUGGAGUGAAGGGAGCUCGAA
rnacentral:miRNA from 1 species